CUUGCUUCUCUUGAGAGCGGCGGACGGGUGAGUAAUGCCUAGGAAUCUGCCUGGUAGUGGGGGAUAACGUCCGGAAACGGACGCUAAUACCGCAUACGUCCUACGGGAGAAAGCAGGGGACCUUCGGGCCUUGCGCUAUCAGAUGAGCCUAGGUCGGAUUAGCUAGUUGGUGGGGUAAUGGCUCACCAAGGCGACGAUCCGUAACUGGUCUGAGAGGAUGAUCAGUCACACUGGAACUGAGACACGGUCCAGACUCCUACGGGAGGCAGCAGUGGGGAAUAUUGGACAAUGGGCGAAAGCCUGAUCCAGCCAUGCCGCGUGUGUGAAGAAGGUCUUCGGAUUGUAAAGCACUUUAAGUUGGGAGGAAGGGCAGUAAAUUAAUACUUUGCUGUUUUGACGUUACCGACAGAAUAAGCACCGGCUAACUCUGUGCCAGCAGCCGCGGUAAUACAGAGGGUGCAAGCGUUAAUCGGAAUUACUGGGCGUAAAGCGCGCGUAGGUGGUUCGUUAAGUUGGAUGUGAAAUCCCCGGGCUCAACCUGGGAACUGCAUUCAAAACUGACGAGCUAGAGUAUGGUAGAGGGUGGUGGAAUUUCCUGUGUAGCGGUGAAAUGCGUAGAUAUAGGAAGGAACACCAGUGGCGAAGCGACCACCUGGACUGAUACUGACACUGAGGUGCGAAAGCGUGGGGAGCAAAC
rnacentral:rRNA from 1 species